rnacentral:rRNA from 1 species
GAUGAACGCUGGCGGCGUGCCUAAUACAUGCAAGUCGAACGAAGAAGCCAAGCGCGCUGGCUGGAGUAGUGGCCAACGGGCGAGUGACAAGCGAGUAACCAGCCCUCAACUCAGGGAUAAGUCAGGGCGACAGGGUCUAACACAGGCCAGGUGAGUCCACCAAACGGAGGGUGCUGGAGUGAUUUACCGGUUUUGGCUGGACUCGCGGCGUAUCCGCGUGUUGGUGAGGAAAUGGCUAACCAAGGCGACGACGGGUAGCCGGCCUGAGAGGGUGACCGGCCACACUGGGACUGAGACACGGCCCAGACUCCAACGUGAGGCAGCAGUGGGGAAUAUUGCGCAAUGGGCGCAAGCCUGAUGCAGCGGCGCCGCGUGAGGGAUGACGGCCUUCGGGUUGUAAACCUCUUUCAGUAGGGAAGAAGCGAAAGUGACGGUACCUGCAGAAGAAGCACCGGCUAACUACGUG